CGUGCAAAACGGGGUCAAUGCCCCGCCUACGCGGUAUUUACCCGCAACCCCUAUCUACGCAACGUUUAUUGACCUUUAGCAUCAGUCAGACGUUUUAUUUGCAAAACAUUGCAAUCUUUUAACAAUACAGGAUUUUUUAUACAUUUUUUGUGGUAUGUUAUGAGUAAUCAUCAGUACUAUCACCUAUCUUCAUUUUUUGCAAGCGUUCUAAUAACAUCCUGUAGAUAUUAGGUAUCAUGAAAAAAA